UUCAGUUAGUGUAAUUCAACAAGCUUUUUAUUUCAAAAACAUUUGGCAUUAAUUUACUUCCAUAGACGUACCUGGACAUUUGAACAUGAGAAUUGAGAGACUCCAGCGGAGAGCGCUUAUUCCUGUGAAGGAGUUUCCUUGAAUCAACUUUGUGAUGAAGAUUCUGGGGCUGCAGAUCAGGAUCAUUGAGGAGGACACGGGGGUGAAUUUCAGGAUCCAUGAAGGACGAGAUCAUGAUCUUCUCCUCGCUGCUCGUCCUCCUUCACCACCUUUUUCACUGUCACUGUUUUACAACUUGUAUGUGGAGAUUAUUUAUUCUAAUUUUAAUUUAAGAAUUACUUAUCGUAUUUUACUACUUGUUAUUCAUUAAGUAUUUAUGUAUUAUGUUAGUUUAAGAAAUGUUAGUGUUCCAGUUUUUGACUGUUUUUAAUGUUUUAUUCUCUUCAACACUCGUGA